rnacentral:rRNA from 1 species
CCGGGUGUCUCAAGUGAUGGGGUCACACCUGUUUCCAUCCCGAACACAGCAGUUAAGCCCAUCAACGCUGAUGAUACUUGCCCCUCGAGGGCGUGGGAAAGUAGGCCGGUGCCCGGA